rnacentral:tRNA from 1 species
GUUAAGGUGGCAGAGUCCGGCAAUUGCAAAAGACCUAAGCCCUUUCCCCCAGAGGUUCAAAUCCUCUCCUUAACU